AAUGAACGCUGGCGGCAGGCCUAAUACAUGCAAGUCGAACGAGUGGCGGACGGGUGAGCAAUUGCGGGGAACCUGCCUGAUGGAGGGGGCUAACUACUGGAAACGGUAGCUAAUACUGCUAACCAUCAGUUCGGCCGAGAUUGGAUUAGCUUGUUGGUGGGGUAUCGGCUCAUCAAGGCGACGAGCCCUAGCUGGUCUGAGAGGAUGACCAGCCACUCUGGAACUGAGACACGGUCCAGACUCCUACGGGAGGCAGCAGUGGGGAAUAUUGCACAAUGGGCGCAAGCCUGAUGCAGCCAUGCCGCGUGUAUGAAGAAGGCCUUCGGGUUGUAAAGUACUUUCAGCGGGGAGGCGUUACCCGCAGAAGAAGCACCGGCUAACUCCGUGCCAGCAGCCGCGGUAAUAC
rnacentral:rRNA from 1 species